GUAUUGAUUUAUUCUUGGUUCCUUCCAAGGUCCAGGCUGGACAGCAAAUUUCAGGGAGUCUGGAGGGACGGCAGCUUCCCAAACGGCACCAGGGUGGGACAGCUCGUCGAGGAGCGGAUCGGGGACGCAGGGAAGUGGCUGGGCCAACUUCACCGAGUUCCAGCCUUUCUCCGGCACAGAGAAGGAGCCCAGGUGCAGCUCCCCGGCGGCCUCGGACAGUAGCGCUGUAGA